AAUCCAUAGGUUAAUGAGGCGAACCGGGGGAACUGAAACAUCUAAGUACCCCGAGGAAAAGAAAUCAACCGAGAUUCCCCCAGUAGCGGCGAGCGAACGGGGAGGAGCCCAGAGCCUGAAUCAGCAUGUGUGUUAGUGGAAGCGUCUGGAAAGGCGCGCGAUACAGGGUGACAGCCCCGUACACAAAAGCGCAUGUGUUGUGAGCUCGAUGAGUAGGGCGGGACACGUGGUAUCCUGUCUGAAUAUGGGGGGACCAUCCUCCAAGGCUAAAUACUCCUGACUGACCGAUAGUGAACCAGUACCGUGAGGGAAAGGCGAAAAGAACCCCGGCGAGGGGAGUGAAAAAGAACCUGAAACCGUGUACGUACAAGCAGUGGGAGCACAGGUUUACCUGUGUGACUGCGUACCUUUUGUAUAAUGGGUCAGCGACUUAUAUUCUGUAGCAAGGUUAACCGAAUA
rnacentral:rRNA from 1 species